AGGUCAAGCAAACAGUUUUGAGGAGCAA
rnacentral:piRNA from 1 species